GAACGUUCACUCCUAGUGCAACUCCCAUCAACUUGAAACAUAAAUUUGUCCAAUAAAAGAAACAAAAUACACAUUCUAAACAUCCAUUCUUAAUACCACAUCAAACUCAUGAUGAAAGGUUCCACCAGUUCAAGGUACAAAGGAAACCAUGACUACAAUAUAUACACACUAACAGAUCUUCCAAAACAACUUCCUAAUUCAACUCGAUCAUUCUUCAAACUUCAAUUCCUGUAAGGAAAACAAAGUUAAGGGGAUGAGCUUAUGUCCAGUGAGGUUUCCGUGCAAGCAACAAUCAAUAAACACUUAAACCAGAUAAGCCAAUAACAAAAUUAAGCAAUUAAGGAACACUUCACUGAACAAUCACUUUUGAAAGGAUACGGUGCUCGC
rnacentral:lncRNA from 1 species